rnacentral:lncRNA from 1 species
CUUAUUUUUACGCUACACAGUGUUUAAAAUUGACAAAUUUUGUAUAGAUUAUGCAUGAAAAACCCAAUUUUCUGCAAAAAAGAGUAAUCUACACCAUAGAAUUUUGAGAUAACAUAUGAGAAGAUGGCUUUAAUAGUAUGUGUUCAGUUAAGAAAAAGAAACAAUGGGGUCACUGGACCCUUUUUCUUGCUACUUUAUAAAUAGGUAAAUUCCUAACACAUUCUAUUGUAAAAUUACCUUAAUCUGAGUUAUCUGCCCUUGUAUUUGAGUUGCCUCCCCUUAUGUGGCAAAGUUGGAAAACAAUUGAUCAAACAAAAGUUUUCUGUUUUUUGCAAAAUACAACCAUAAAUAUGAUAAAACAUGUUAUUUUCUAUAUUGAAGUGGAAGUUCUUACACAAGAAUUACCUACUACUCUAAAACUUUGCACAUUCUAUUAAAGAUCUAGACCUUGUUUUCUGGUAUUUCCAAAUCCAAAAUGGAGGAAGACACCCUAUCUACCUUAUGGCUGACAUAAUGAUGAUUUAGAAGAUAUAUGUAUGAUAUGUAACUUUUACAGAACAAAUCAUUCCAAGGCCACACUGCUAAGUCUUAUUAUGUUUCUAUUUAUAGUUGAGAAUUAAUCAUGUGUUAGACAUGUGACAUAUUUAUAAUCAUUGAGCAGAUUGGUAUUUUAUUUCAUGGGGAUUUUUAUUUCCAUUUCCAGUUAUUUGUUGUGAUCAAUUUAAAUAGCAAACACUUUGGAUAGGUGGUAAUGCAUAGUAUUGUAAUAAAAUGUAUGUAUAUAUGAAGAGCAUAAACAUGAGCAUUGUGUGGGAGACUGUAUUUUAUGUUUUUCCAAUUUUUUUAUAGGCAUAACAAGGGUUAAAGUCUGGGCUAUGAAAUUGGUUUGCCAAUCAGUUAAUGACUGCUUCAACCAAAUGUAUAAUCAUAAUGCUAUUGUAAUUAAGAAGGAGAAUCAGUUAAUGACUGCUUCAACCAAAUGUAUAAUCAUAAUGCUAUUGUAAUUAAGAAGGAGAAGAACUUGACAAGCUACUGUAUAUUUAAUUUUUGGACUAAACCUGAAAUUUCUGUCUGGUACAUGUAUAUGGUAUUAUAUGGUUAUAUGACUUACAAGAAUUUAAGUUAUCACUUUUAGGUGUUUUUUUUUAAUCUUUUCUCCCAG